rnacentral:rRNA from 1 species
GACGAACGCUGGCGGCGUGCUUAACACAUGCAAGUCGAACGAAGUGGCGACCGGGUGAUUAAUACGUGGGUACCCUGCCCUCCUUUUUGGGAUAAGCCUUGGAAAGGGGGUCUAUUACCGACUAAGGGGGGAUGGGCUCGCGGCCUAUCGGCUUGUGGGUGGGUGGAUGGCCUACCAAGGCGGUGACGGGUAGCCGGCCUGAGAGGGUGACCGGCCACAUUGGGACUGAGAUACGGCCCAGACUCCUACGUGAGGCAGCAGUGGGGGAUAUUGCACAAUGGGCGAAAGCCUGAUACAGCGACGCUGCGUGGGGGAUGAAGGCCUUCGGGUUGUAAAGUACUUUCAGCGAGGAGGCGUUACUCGCAGAAGAAGCACCGGCUAACUCCGUGCCAGCCGCCGCGGUAAUAC